rnacentral:rRNA from 1 species
UACAGAGGCCUCAAGCGUUAGGCGGAAUCACUGGGCUUAAAGCGUGUGUAGGCCGGAUGUCUAAGUGCCUUGUGAAAUCCCAUGGCUCAACCAUGGAACGGCUGGGCAUACUGGACGUCUUGAGCCAUCCAGGGGUCGCUGGAACAAACGGUGGAGCGGUGAAAUGCGUAGAAUAUCGUUUGGAACGCCAAAGGUGAAGACAGG